AGAGUUUGAUCCUGGCUCAGGAUGAACGCUAGCUACAGGCUUAACACAUGCAAGUCGAGGGGCAUCAGGAAGAAAGCUUGCUUUCUUUGCUGGCGACCGGCGCACGGGUGAGUAACACGUAUCCAACCUGCCCUUUACUCGGGGAUAGCCUUUCGAAAGAAAGAUUAAUACCCGAUGGCAUAAUGAUUCCGCAUGGUUUCAUUAUUAAAGGAUUCCGGUAAAGGAUGGGGAUGCGUUCCAUUAGGUUGUUGGUGAGGUAACGGCUCACCAAGCCUUCGAUGGAUAGGGGUUCUGAGAGGAAGGUCCCCCACAUUGGAACUGAGACACGGUCCAAACUCCUACGGGAGGCAGCAGUGAGGAAUAUUGGUCAAUGGGCGCUAGCCUGAACCAGCCAAGUAGCGUGAAGGAUGAAGGCUCUAUGGGUCGUAAACUUCUUUUAUAUAAGAAUAAAGUGCAGUAUGUAUACUGUUUUGUAUGUAUUAUAUGAAUAAGGAUCGGCUAACUCCGUGCCAGCAGCCGCGGUAAUACGGAGGAUCCGAGCGUUAUCCGGAUUUAUUGGGUUUAAAGGGAGCGUAGGUGGACUGGUAAGUCAGUUGUGAAAGUUUGCGGCUCAACCGUAAAAUUGCAGUUGAUACUGUCAGUCUUGAGUACAGUAGAGGUGGGCGGAAUUCGUGGUGUAGCGGUGAAAUGCUUAGAUAUCACGAAGAACUCCGAUUGCGAAGGCAGCUCACUGGACUGCAACUGACACUGAUGCUCGAAAGUGUGGGUAUCAAACAGGAUUAGAUACCCUGGUAGUCCACACAGUAAACGAUGAAUACUCGCUGUUUGCGAUAUACAGUAAGCGGCCAAGCGAAAGCAUUAAGUAUUCCACCUGGGGAGUACGCCGGCAACGGUGAAACUCAAAGGAAUUGACGGGGGCCCGCACAAGCGGAGGAACAUGUGGUUUAAUUCGAUGAUACGCGAGGAACCUUACCCGGGCUUAAAUUGCAGUGGAAUGAUGUGGAAACAUGUCAGUGAGCAAUCACCGCUGUGAAGGUGCUGCAUGGUUGUCGUCAGCUCGUGCCGUGAGGUGUCGGCUUAAGUGCCAUAACGAGCGCAACCCUUAUCUUUAGUUACUAACAGGUUAUGCUGAGGACUCUAGAGAGACUGCCGUCGUAAGAUGUGAGGAAGGUGGGGAUGACGUCAAAUCAGCACGGCCCUUACGUCCGGGGCUACACACGUGUUACAAUGGGGGGUACAGAAGGCAGCUAGCGGGUGACCGUAUGCUAAUCCCAAAAGCCUCUCUCAGUUCGGAUCGAAGUCUGCAACCCGACUUCGUGAAGCUGGAUUCGCUAGUAAUCGCGCAUCAGCCAUGGCGCGGUGAAUACGUUCCCGGGCCUUGUACACACCGCCCGUCAAGCCAUGAAAGCCGGGGGUACCUGAAGUACGUAACCGCAAGGAGCGUCCUAGGGUAAAACUGGUAAUUGGGGCUAAGUCGUAACAAGGUAGCCGUACCGGAAGGUGCGGCUG
rnacentral:rRNA from 1 species